UAGGCCGUGGGACAAUCAACAAUGAGGAAAAGAGUGGUGAUCGUUGCCCGCUGGGGUGCUGCUCCAAUAGAGAUAGGGAGAUAGAUGCUUCUAAUGGACUGGACAGCAUCACCAAAGAAGCUCACAAGGGGUGUGAUGCUUCGAUCGAGCAAGUGAGACCGAACCUGGAGCUCAUUGAAAGCAUCAGUAAACAUCACACUGACUGAGCUGCCAGUGUCCACCAAGAUAUGCCCAACGUCGAAGUUAGAAAUGUUUGCGCGGAUAAUGAGUAGGUCAUCAUGGGGGAGAAUAACACCACGUUCCUCCUCUUGGUAUAAAGUAAUGGGGGCCCAGCCUGAUUUGUGCGUCUUUGGCAGUUGUCCCUGCUCAGUGCUGAAGACCCCGCCACGGUAGGACCACCAGUGAUGGUGGAGAUCAUGUUGAUAUGUCGUUGGUGAGGGUUAGAUAGAGGUGGGAGGUUAUGCACAUAUUUGUCCAGCUUCCCUUCACAGAUGAAUCCUUCAAUGAUGUUGCGCAAGGUAACACAAGAUUCAGUAUCGUUGGC
rnacentral:lncRNA from 1 species